CCUACGGGUGGCAGCAGUAGGGAAUAUUGCUCAAUGGAGGAAACCCUGAACCAGCAACGCAGCGUGGAGGAUGAAGGUUUUCGGAUUGUAAACUCCUUUUGUUAAAGGAGUUAAUGGAGGUAUCUGACGAAUAAGCCCCGUCUAACGCCAUGCAAGCAGCCGCAGUAAUGCGGCGGGUGCAGGCGUUACUCGGAAUCACUGGGCGUAAAGAGCGCGUAGGCGGGAUAGCAAGUCAGAUGUGAAAUCCUAGGGCUUAACCGUAGAACUUCAUUUGAAACUGUUAUUCUAGAGUAUGGGAGAGGUAGGUGGAAUUCGUGGUGUAGGGGUAAAAUGCGUAGAGAUCAAGAGGAAUACUGAUUGCGAAGGCGACCUGCUAGAACAUAACUGACGCUGAUGCGCGAAAGUGUGGGGAGCAAACAGGAUUAGAUACCCUUGUAGUC
rnacentral:rRNA from 1 species